CCCCUAGAUGUUCUGGGCCGCACGCGCGCUACACUGAACAGUUCAACAAGUCUUAACCUUGGCCGAUAGGUCUGGGUAAUCUUUGAACGCUUUUCGUGAUUGGGAUAGACCUUUGCAAUUAUGGGUCUUCAACGAGGAAUUCCUAGUAAACGCAAGUCAUCAGCUUGCAUUGAUUACGUCCCUGCCCUUUGUACACACCGCCCGUCGCACCUACCGAUUGAAUGGUCCGGUGAAAUCUCGGGACGGCGGCUUGGUCGCUUGCGUCCGACUGCUGAAACUUGAUUAAACCAUAUCAUUUAGAGGAAGGUGAAGUCGUAACA
rnacentral:rRNA from 1 species